UACAGAGGGGGCAAGCGUUGUUCGGAAUUACUGGGCGUAAAGGGCGCGUAGGCGGCCUUCUAAGUCGAACGUGAAAUCCCCGGGCUCAACCCGGGAACUGCGUCCGAUACUGGAAGGCUUGAUCCGGGAGAGGGAUGCGGAAUUCCAGGUGUAGCGGUGAAAUGCGUAGAUAUCUGGAGGAACACCGGUGGCGAAGGCGGCAUCCUGGACCGGUAUUGACGCUGAGGCGCGAAAGCCAGGGGAGCAAACGGG
rnacentral:rRNA from 1 species